UGUUCGGAAUUACUGGGCGUAAAGGGCUCGUAGGCGGCCAACUAAGUCGGAUGUGAAAUCCCCAAGCUUAACUUGGGAACUGCAUCCGAUACUGGAUGGCUUGAAUCCGGGAGAGGGAUGCAGAAUUCCAGGUGUAGCGGUGAAAUGCGUAGAUAUCUGGAGGAAUACCGGUGGCGAAGGCGGCAUCCUGGACCGGCAUUGACGCUGAGGAGCGAAAGCUAGGGGAGCAAACGGG
rnacentral:rRNA from 1 species